rnacentral:lncRNA from 1 species
UUGUUCCUCUACCUGUGGCUGCUGUGGAGUUUUCUUGCCUGUUGAGGCUCUGGGCCUCAGCUAUACCUGACCAUUUGGACCAAAGGAACACGGAAAAAAAUGAGAAAUGCCGGGGAAGACAUUGUUGAGUCAGCGAGAAGUCUGUGGAGAACAAGGAGGCUCCAAACACUGAGGUGGGGUGUCCUUCUGAUUAUCAGAGAGGGAGGGACCCAGAUGCUAGGAUGGAUUGUUUCUGUGAGGAACAGGCUUUUUUGUCAACAAUGGCUUAUCCACCAAUGGCUGGUGGUCUACAAAUCUCCCUCACCUUGUGAAACUGUUUCUUGCCUGUUUGCCCAAUCCUUGCAUGUCAAUCAUUUCUGAGACUGGACUCCAUUUACAGCUUCCCUCUUCACACCAAUUGAGAAUGAGCUAAUCGCAUCAGAUAGUGAAGGUCAAGGUUCCACCAAUGGGCUCAUGAAGGUUUCUAAAAUUAUCUGGAAAGGAGCGCGUUGAAAGAGGAAGUGGAGGGACAGCCAACCAGAACCUUACCAGACGCGAAGUCUAGAGCUGACCUUAGUCAUCAUUCAGCAUGAGCAAUGGAGAAGAGGACAGAGGCCUGCCAUCUGAGAAAAUCUCAAGACCGCUCAUUCACACCUCCAUCUUUGAGGAGAGGAGCUUGUGUCCCAGAGAGCUCAAAACAACGCUGCAGCAGAGUAUUAUCAUGGCCUGUCCGUCAAAGGGGCAAAGAGACUCAUAAGGAGAACUCUACAUUCAUUUGUCCAUGUGCUCUCAGGCUGUGCUAAAUGCCUAGAACAGGAUACAAACAAUAGGAACUAGAUUAAUUUAGCAGACUGCUUGGGUCCACAGAGUCAACGAAGCCAUCUUCAAGGUAAGUAUCAGAUCCAGCCACUAGAAGAGGUCAUAAGAAAGGGCAAGUCGGUUCCUCAGAAAACUGGACAUAGUACUACCGGAGGAUCCA